GGGCUUGUAACUCAGUGGUAGAGUGCUCGCUUCGCAUGCGAGAAGUCAGGGGUUCAAUUCCCUUCAAGUCCA